GUGGUCUGAUCUCGUGCAUUCACACGGUUUCUGUCCACGUGUCAGAGAUUAAAACACAGAGAAGCUGGAACCUCUUGGUACUGAGAGCAGAAGCCACGACUCUUGAGACACAGUCAAAGAGAAAGAGGAAGAUGAAAAGGAGAAGGACGAAGACGAGGGUUUUACUGUGAGCUGAUAUCAGUGUUGGUCUGAUAUCACUGAGCAGCAGGAUGGAGGAAACGUCUCUGCUGUGUCUGCUCUUUCUGAUCUCACUGCUGAGCUGCACCACAAACCAAGGUCAGUAACCUUCUUCUGUCACACUGUAAACCUGACUCACUCUCAAGAGCCUGCAAGAGGCUAUUAAGAUCAUGGUGAAAGAAAAUGUAUAAAAUCAGAUCAGUGUUAUCUCACUCUUAUCACACUCACUGACUGUCUACAUGAUUUAUGUUUUAUUUAAAUAAGUGACUUAACCCUUUAA